AAACGUAGUCCAACAACGAAAGAGCCCUGAAGCUCAAGCGGAGCCCGCUGGCCGCAGGGGCCGUACCACGCCCCAGACCCUGGAGUUUCCGGGUGCGCAGACCCUUGCCGUCAGCAGAGGCUGCAGCUGCGCGUCCCCUAGGCGCGGAAGAGGCGGCUGGUGGUCCCUGACGGCAAGGUGAAGUCGAGGCAGUAAUCGGGAACCCAGGUUUUAUACAUUACGAAUAAAGCUGGCACGUUUCCAUUUCUCCUGGGCAAAUAUUUAGAAGAAAAGUUGCUGGGUAAUUGGUGGAGACAAGGUUUCGCCACAUUGACUGGGCUGGUCUCGAACUCCUGAGCUCAAGCAACCCGCCCUCCUUGACCUCCCAAAGUGCUAGGAUUACAGGUGUGAACCACCGUGCCCGGCCCUACUUUCUAUCGAAGUAGAAUAGGUAGAUCACAUUAUUAUUAACAGUAUAUGGGAAGAGGGAGGUCCUCCCAUGUUACAUUGUUCUCCCUUCACCUUCUGGGUCAUGUUGCACCACUGUUUCCCUUCUAGUCAUAUCCCAGGGGGCCUUGUCCCAUUUAUACAGCUCCAUUCUAGUGGUCACCAGAGGAAUGGGAGUAAUCUGAUUGAAAGAUAAGACAGAAGAUUGUACUCUCUUUUUUUUUUUUUUUUUUUUGAGACAGAGUCACCCAGGCUGGAAUGCAGUGGCAUUGUCAUGGCUCACCGCAGUCUCAAACUCCUGGGCCCAAGCAAUCCUCCCACUCAGCCUCCUGAGUAGCUGGGACUAGAGGCACAUGCAACCACAUGCAGCUAUUUUUUUAAAAAUUUUCUGUAGAGACAGGGUCUCACUGUGUUGCUCAGUUUGUCUCAAACUCCUGGGCUCAAGUGAUCCUCCUGCCUUGGCCUCACAAAGUACUAGGAUUACAGGCAUGAGUCACCACACUCAGCUGAACUCUACUCUUUAUGCUCAGGAAAGCACUGGAGAAGAGAGAGGACAAGAGAAACAGGUCCGUAGUGACAGGAGCCUAGGAAUAGAGCAGGCCUUCAGUCUUGGUGAAAAAAUAAAUGGUAUUCUAAGCCUUCCUUUGGACAUUAA